rnacentral:rRNA from 1 species
ACUGAUGUUUAUUCCGCCGGGGCAACACCCGUUCCCAUUCCGAACACGGCAGUUAAGCCCGGCAGGGUCGAUGGUAUUAACGCCCAAUCCGGCGUUGUGAGAGUAGAUCGAUGUCAGUC